AACGUAGGAGACAAACGUUAUCCGGAGUUACUGGGCGUAAAGGGCGUGUAGGUGGUUUCGUAAGUCUGGCGUGAAAUAUCUCGGCUUAACCGAGGCAGGUCGUCGGAUACUGCGGGACUAGAGGACGGUAGAGGCGUGUGGAAUUCCGGGUGUAGUGGUGAAAUGCGCAGAUAUCGGGAGGAACACCAGUAGCGAAGGCGGCACUCUGGGCCGGAACUGACGCUGAGGAGCGAAAGCGUGGGUAGCAAACAGG
rnacentral:rRNA from 1 species